rnacentral:rRNA from 1 species
GCAGGCUGCAACUCGCCUGCAUGAAGCUGGAAUUGCUAGUAAUCGCGGAUCAGCAAGCCGCGGUGAAUACGUUCCCGGGCCUUGUACACACCGCCCGUCACACCAUGAGAGUCGGGAACACCCGAAGUCCGUAGUCUAACCNCAAGGGGGGCGCGGCCGAAGGUGGGUCCGGUAAUUGGGGUGAAGUCGUAACAAGGUAGC